CCUACGGGGAGCAGCAGUGGGGAAUAUUGGACAAUGGGCGAAAGCCUGAUCCAGCCAUGCCGCGUGUGUGAAGAAGGCCUUCGGGUUGUAAAGCACUUUCAGUGGGGAAGAAAGCCUUGGGGCUAAUACCCUCGAGGAAGGACAUCACCCACAGAAGAAGCACCGGCUAACUCCGUGCCAGCAGCCGCGGUAAUACGGAGGGUGCGAGCGUUAAUCGGAAUUACUGGGCGUAAAGCGCGCGUAGGCGGUCUGAUAAGCCGGUUGUGAAAGCCCCGGGCUCAACCUGGGAACGGCAUCCGGAACUGUCAGGCUAGAGUGCAGGAGAGGAAGGUAGAAUUCCCGGUGUAGCGGGGAAAUGCGUAGAGAUCGGGAGGAAUACCAGUGGCGAAGGCGGCCUUCUGGACUGACACUGACGCUGAGGUGCGAAAGCGUGGGUAGCAAACAGGAUUAGAUACCCUAGUAGUC
rnacentral:rRNA from 1 species